rfam:Desulfotomaculum australicum DSM 11792 genome assembly, contig: EJ60DRAFT_scaffold00019.19
AUCUAAGCGCGAAGCCCUCCUCAAGAUAAGGUUUCCCACCCGGCGCUCACCGGGUGCCGGGGUAAGACCCCUGGAAGACUACCAGGUAGAUAGGCCGGGCGUGUAAGCCGGGUAACCGGUUGAGCGGACCGGUACUAAUAGGUCGAGGCCUUGACCUC